rnacentral:lncRNA from 1 species
CCAUUCUCUCCGGAUGCAGCUAGCACAAAGGGUGCUUUGGUAAAUUCAUACCUCGUGACCAUCUUGCAUACAACUUUUGGUUUUGCUUUAUUAAUGAAAUUCACGAGUAUGAAAGUUUGAGAACCUCUUUUCUUCUGUUCUUUUUUCAUUUUAUCUCAAGCUUAUUCUUCUUCUUCUUCUUCUUAAUUACUUAGAUCUCUCUCUUGUUUCAUCUUUCUUUGCUUUCUGUUAUCUGGCGGCUCUGACCAGCUCUCGAGUUGUUUCGUUUCUGGUUAAUGGAUACUGAACCCUCUUGGGAUCUUGGGGGGGUGGUAAAUUUUUUUUCUAAAUUGCAUGGCAACAUCAAAUGACCAAACCAAUACCAAAUCAUCAUAUUCUCACACUCUUCUUCUUUUCCUCAUAUUCUUAUCUUUCAUUCUCUUCAUUGGCCUUACAAUCCCAAUGAAUCAUCAUCAAUCCACAUCUACGGUUGUUCUCUUCAAGAGGGUUCUUCUUAAAUCUUCGGCUCCAGCUUCAUCCACGAUGGAUCUGCGUCCAAAGAAUCACCCACGACCCAGCCGCACUUCUAGAAAGAGAGAGUUUGGAAAUGAUGCUCAUGAAGUUCCUAGUGGUCCAAACCCUAUUUCCAACUAGGUGAGUUGGCAUAUCUGGUUUUACCCCUGAGUUUAAAAGAUAAGUUAUUAUAGAUCAAUAUUAUGUUAUUAUAUAUGGGAGAAGCCUCUGAUCGAUGGAGAUUAGAGAAGAACUUAAUUGUUAUGGAUUUAGUAUAUAUUUUUUAAUGGAUCAGUUUGGUACCGUUCAUUUCCUUCCUAAUAUUUGUUCGUUUUGAAAUUGCUUCCUCCAGCUUUUAAGUUUUGAAGUUAGAGUUGUAAAGAAGAUGCUAUUAUUCGUUAAUCAUUCACAUGUUUAUGUAGCCACCUUUAUACACUACUGCUAUGUUUUUCCUUCACAAAUUUAUUGGGGGCAUAUAGAAGCCUUUAUCAUUAGAUUUUUCUAAUAAUAGUUUAAUUAUUAUAAAGGUUAGAUCAUGAACAGAAAGACUCUAUUUGUAACAAUAGUCGAUGAAAAUGAAGAUCUCGAGGCAUGAUCCCAAACAAUUGUUAGAUCUCUUUACUCCUGGCAAAACUGUCUCCUUUUCUGAAUAUAGUUUUGAAAAGAAAAUGUAAAACAGCUAUAUUCGAUAUCAAUUAUCUAAAGCAAUUUUCUUCCCAAACAGUGAAUGUAGUAAUAAGUCAUUAACGAAAAAGAUAAUAAUAAAUUAGGUUACUAUGGACCCUCCGUUAUGGCGAUAUUCAAACAAAUAGUAUCGGGGAGUACGUUCACACUACUAUUUAAACCAAAGUUCAAUUUGUUUUUCUCCUAUAUUACUUUCCUCAUUUUUAUUCCUUACUAAGAAUAUUAAUUAUCAUAUUUUUUAUUCCGCGACAUGAUACAUAUUAUUGUACAGAGGACAUGCAUUCGUAAUUUGUAAACAAAUAUCAUAUAAUAUAAGGUAUAAUUUGACUUCCAAACAUAAUGGGGAACUAAAUAAUGCAUAAUUUAAUCAUAAAUGAUUUUAUUUUGUUUUCUCUUUUGACUAGUAUUGAUAGACGUUGUUAUAUAAUUGGUGUUUGGUCAAGUUAGUCAAAAAAAAAUUCUUGGGAAAAGAAAAUUUUAAAAAUGAAAAUUUAAAAGAAAGAAAGCAAGAACCCUGCUUUCUUCCACCUCCUCUCCUUUCAUUUAUGUUAUAACCUUUUCCUUUUGCGUAAGCUUUUAAGAUUCGUUGGUAAUUACUUAAUGACUCAAUUACCAUUACACGUUUUGUUCUGUUUCAUGUGAUUGCUCGUUCUGCAGUGGCAUGCCUACCGACAAUUUUAAGUCUUUUCAGGGGCUUAAUAGUAAUCUAUUUGAAAGAAAAAUCUGAAAAAGUCCUGUCUCGCGUUAUGCAAACCCUAGUCUGAAUUCACCAUAUAUGCCCAUUCUCUCCGGAUGCAGCUAGCACAAAGGGUGCUUUGGUAAAUUCAUACCUCGUGACCAUCUUGCAUACAACUUUUGGUUUUGCUUUAUUAAUGAAAUUCACGAGUAUGAAAGUUUGAGAACCUCUUUUCUUCUGUUCUUUUUUCAUUUUAUCUCAAGCUUAUUCUUCUUCUUCUUCUUCUUAAUUACUUAGAUCUCUCUCUUGUUUCAUCUUUCUUUGCUUUCUGUUAUCUGGCGGCUCUGACCAGCUCUCGAGUUGUUUCGUUUCUG